GCGCCCCCCGCUAUAAAAAUAUCUUCCGCCCUUGCACCCCUCCCCCCCAUCCCGCUCACGAGUUCCUCACUUCCUCCUCCGCCCGCGUCGCCCCUCCUCUCCUCUCCCUCCCGGCUCCCGGCUACCGCCGCCGCCGCCCCGAGGAAAUGGCUGCCCUGCAACCCUCAUUCUCUUCAGCAAUGGCUAUGAAAAGUCUGAAGUUACCCAAAACUGCAGUUUUACCUGGAUUUGGUGGUAUUGCACGUCCUCAAGAUGUGCAGGACAGGAGCGCUAACUUCACUUGUUCAAGGCCUAGAGCAGCUUCAGUGACUGACCAGUCAACAGCAGAGCCAGCAAAACCCAGGCAAAACAAGCACACUGUUGAUCCUUCUGCUCCAGAAUUUCUGCCACUCCCAUCAUUUGAAGAAUGCUUUCCAAGGAGCACAAAAGAAUCCAGAGAAAUUGUGCACGAGGAAUCUGGCCAUGUCCUCAAGAUCCCAUUUAGGAGAAUCCAUUUGACCGGAGAUGAGAAGCAUUUUGACACAUACGACACCAGUGGUCCACAAAACAUUAGUCCAAGGAUUGGACUUCCAAAGAUAAGGAAGGAAUGGAUUGACAGGAGGGAGAAGUUAGGUGGUCCUCGAUACACACAAAUGUAUUACGCUAAGCAGGGAAUCAUAACAGAGGAGAUGUUGUACUGUGCCACACGUGAGAACCUUAGUCCUGAAUUUGUCCGGUCAGAGGUUGCCCGUGGACGAGCUAUAAUUCCUUCCAACAAGAGGCACCUGGAAUUGGAACCCAUGAUUGUUGGACGAAACUUCCUUGUAAAAGUGAAUGCAAACAUUGGGAAUUCUGCUGUUGUGAGCUCCAUCGAGGAGGAAGUACACAAGCUCCAGUGGGCUACAAUGUGGGGAGCUGAUACUGUCAUGGACCUUUCAACAGGGCGUCAUAUCCAUGAGACCCGGGAAUGGAUCCUUCGUAAUUCUUCAGUCCCUAUUGGGACGGUGCCUAUUUACCAAGCACUUGAGAAAGUUAAUGGUAUUGCUGAAAAUCUAAGCUGGGAAGUCUUUAGAGAUACUUUAAUCGAACAAGCUGAGCAGGGUGUUGAUUACUUCACAAUCCAUGCUGGCGUGCUUCUUCGUUACAUUCCUCUUACGGCAAAGAGAAUGACCGGCAUAGUUUCACGUGGUGGCUCUAUCCAUGCAAAAUGGUGCCUAACAUAUCAUAAGGAGAACUUUGCCUAUGAGCACUGGGAUGAAAUUCUUGAUAUUUGCAAUCAGUAUGAUGUGGCAUUAUCCAUUGGCGAUGGUUUGAGACCAGGUUCUAUUUAUGAUGCAAAUGAUAGUGCUCAGUUUGCAGAAUUGCUGACUCAAGGGGAACUCACACGCCGAGCUUGGGCAAAAGAUGUGCAGGUAAUGAAUGAAGGCCCAGGGCACAUUCCGAUGCAUAAAAUUCCUGAAAACAUGGAGAAGCAACUGGAGUGGUGCAAUGAAGCACCUUUCUACACACUGGGGCCACUGACAACUGAUAUUGCACCUGGUUAUGAUCACAUCACCUCCGCCAUUGGUGCUGCCAACAUUGGGGCUCUUGGCACUGCACUUCUCUGUUAUGUAACACCAAAGGAGCACCUUGGAUUGCCUAACCGUGAUGAUGUUAAGACAGGCGUGAUAUCCUACAAAAUUUCUGCUCAUGCUGCUGAUUUGGCAAAGGGCCAUCCCUAUGCACAAGCAUGGGACGAUACACUAAGCAAGGCAAGAUUUGAGUUUAGAUGGUUGGAUCAAUUUGCUCUAUCUCUGGAUCCUGUGACCGCUAUGUCUUUCCAUGAUGAAACAUUACCAUCGGAGGGUGCCAAAGUGGCACAUUUCUGCUCAAUGUGUGGCCCAAAGUUUUGUUCGAUGAAAAUCACAGAGGAUAUUAGAAAAUAUGCUGAUGAACAUGGUUACGGGACAGUGGAGGAAGCGGUGAUACAAGGAAUGAAUGCUAUGAGUGCUGAGUUUUCAGCUGCAAGGAAAACAAUCAGUGGGGAGCAACAUGGUGAAGCUGGAGGGGAGAUAUAUGUUCCAGAAAGCUAUACAGCUCGCAAAUAAGGGACCUUAAUAAACCUUUAGUGGCUUGGACUUGUAUGUGCAUUACUGCAAAGGCACUAACUUUUAUAUCACAAUAACAUGUUCUCGCCUUCUCGGAACUCAGAAUACAAUCUCCGUGCAGAUCGUCUUGGUGUCCAUCUACUCCGGGUGGAGCGUUUAUCAGCAGCACUCCUCACCAUCCUAUGUUAGGAGGUGGGGUGCCUGUAUUCUCAACGAUCUGAAGGCCUCUUGGCCUGGAUUGUUGUGAAUUGGGCUGAGAAAGUCCCUUUGAACCUGAACAGGAUAAUGCCUGCGAAGGGAGUGUGCAUUUCUACUUUUAUGUUUCCAGGGAACUCUCAACACAACCCCUUUUUGGUGGGAGAUCGAGCUAUCCAAUAUGUUCCUGAACGUGUGAGCUCAGCAGCUGGAUAUACCUGUUUCUUACAACUGAGGUAACAUGGUAAUAAUACUUCAUUUGAUAAGUGGCAUGCUGACAUUUCUCCAACAGGAGAGGAUUUCUGCAGAUACCACUUCGUAAUGUCCCAGAACUGAUUUAGUCAUACAUUUAUUAUCCGUGUAAAUUUGCAAAGCGUUGGCCAUGUCCUAUGCAAUUGAUUUUAAACCAUCUAUCUGCACAUAUCUAAUUAAAGUAUAAAACAAUUUAUAAACUCUACAUAAUGGACAUUUUAGCUGCAUGCCACUUGUCAAUUGAGCACACAAUAUACUGACUAAAUUCAAUUUAACUUGAUCAUGAUUCAUGUGGAAGGUGUUUAUUAGGAAUUAAUUUAUUGAUAUGGCCAGAGACUUGUUUAUUUUUAGCUAUUUAUUUGUCUUUCCCAUAGAAAUGAUCAAAUUUUGUACUUGCACCUUGUGUAAGUAUAAUAGAAUUAUUUAGUCUGUUUUGGAGCAUUCAUUAAUGCAAUGAUGCUCAGCCGCUCAGAUCUUUGCGUAGCAUUAUCCAAGAAAACAAGUCUUUUUGUAUCCCCUAGAUAAUUUGAAAGCACCCAUACAUGCACAAUAGCAUGUGAAAAAGAACUUUAGCUAGGUUCUGUUGACCGAUUAUGUUGUAGGAUAGGAAUCAUCUGCCUGUAGAACAUAAUUUGGGCAUUAUCUUCUGAUGUUAUAAUCAUGUUUUUCUCAGCAAACUAUUACUCCGCACUCCAUUUUGUGUUUGCGAUGUGGAAUUAUUUUACCUGUGAUCCAAUCCCAUUAUUUGACUGACGUGAAACGUUAAGUGAAAUGACGUGUGGACAAAGUUGCUCGUGGCUGGAGUCUUUAUGCUCGUGGUUAACAAUUUGGAGAUGAAUUUUGCUCUGAUUGUGCUCCUGCAAUGUGUUUUUAAUUUUCAUCAUAACGGAUCUUGACACUAUUUUCUAUCAGAUUGUUACCUGUUGUUCAUUCCGAGUUCAGUACUACUAUACAAUGUCC